GGGAGGCCCUGCUCGCUGCCGGGGCCUCUCGCUGCUCGGCUGGCAACGGUCCUCGGCCCCGGUCAGGCAGUGCUGGGCCAGGUGGCAGAGGGGCCCUGCUGCGGGGGACACGGAGCCGCCGCUUACAGUGAAAACCUGUUACCAGGAUAAUCGCACAGUGCUGGUCUUCGCCGCAUCCCACCAGGACCCAUUUUGCAGGGGUUGGAGUGUUCAUCAGCUGGCGUCAGGUGGAUGCGCUUCCCUGGAAGGGAUUGCUGGAGGCAGAUGAACCCGGCGAGGGCUGAACUCACCCUGAGGACGGCCAUACCCCGCAGGAGGGAGCUGCAGGGUGGCAGGAUGCUGAGGACCUGCAGGUCAGUACACAUCAGUGAGCACACCUUGCCUGAUUUGGGGCUGCCCAGAUGCUCCCGUACCCUACCCUUUGCCCUGCAAAUCAACCCAAUUCCAACCCAACCUCUCCAUUGACCACAAAUUGCACAGGGCCCAGCUCAAGCCCGGAGCAUCCCAGCUGGGAAGAUGGAGGUGGGGAAAGAAAGUCUCUCGCAUCCUGCCCCAGAGGGCACGGGGCUGAGCGGGAGCUGAGCGUACGUGCA